UACGUAGGGGGCUAGCGUUGUCCGGAAUCAUUGGGCGUAAAGCGCGUGUAGGCGGUCCGGUAAGUCCGCUGUGAAAGUCGGGGGCUCAACCCUCGAAUGCCGGUGGAUACUGUCGGGCUAGAGUGCGGAAGAGGCGAGUGGAAUUCCUGGUGUAGCGGUGAAAUGCGCAGAUAUCAGGAGGAACACCAAUGGCGAAGGCAGCUCGCUGGGACGGUACUGACGCUGAGGCGCGAAAGCGUGGGGAGCAAACAGG
rnacentral:rRNA from 1 species